GUCCACGCCGUAAACGAUGUCAACUAGCUGUUGGGGCUCUUGUAGUUCUGGUAGCGCAGCUAACGCACUAAGUUGACCGCCUGGGGAGUACGGCCGCAAGGUUAAAACUCAAAUGAAUUGACGGGGGCCCCGCACAAGCGGUGGAGCAUGUGGUUUAAUUCGACGCAACGCGAAAACCUUCCUACUCUUGACAUCCUGCGAACUUUCUAGAGAUAGAUUGGUGCCUUCGGGAGCGCAGAGACAGGUGCUGCAUGGCUGUCGU
rnacentral:rRNA from 1 species